GACCUCAAAUCAGGCAGGAUUACCCGCUGAACUUAAGCAUAUCAAUAAGCGGAGGAAAAGAAACUAACAAGGAUUCCCCUAGUAGCGGCGAGCGAAGCGGGAAGAGCUCAAAUUUGUAAUCUGGCGCUUUCGGCGUCCGAGUUGUAAUCUCGAGAAGUGUUUUCCGCAUUGGACCGCACACAAGUCUGUUGGAAUACAGCGGCACAGUGGUGAGACCCCCGUACACGGUGCGGACGCCCAAUGCUUUGUGAUACACUUUCAAAGAGUCGAGUUGUUUGGGAAUGCAGCUCAAAUUGGGUGGUAAAUUCCAUCUAAAGCUAAAUAUUGGCGAGAGACCGAUAGCGAACAAGUACCGUGAGGGAAAGAUGAAAAGCACUUUGGAAAGAGAGUUAACAGUACGUGAAAUUGUUGGAAGGGAAACGC
rnacentral:rRNA from 1 species